rnacentral:rRNA from 1 species
GACGAACGCUGGCGGCGUGCCUAACACAUGCAAGUCGAGCGAAGUGAGUACUACGGUACGAACUUAGCGGCGGACGGGUGAGUAACGCGUGGGCAAUCUACCCUGUAGACUGGGAUAACACCUCGAAAGGGGUGCUAAUACCGGAUAAUGUCGAGAAGCGGCAUCGCUUUUCGAAGAAAGGAGAGAAUCCGCUAUAGGAGGAGUCCGCGUCCCAUUAGCUAGUUGGUGAGGGUAACGGCCCGGCAAGGCGACGAUGGGUAGCCGGCCUGAGAGGGUGAACGGCCACACUGGAACUGAGUCACGGUCCAGACUCCUACGGGAGGCAGCAGUGGGGAAUAUUGUGCAAUGGGGGAAACCCUGACACAGCAACGCCGCGUGAGCGAAGAAGGCCUUCGGGUUGUAAAGCUCAAUAGUAUGGGAAGAUAAUGACGGUACCAUACGAAAGCCCCGGCUAACUACGUGCCAUCCGCCGCAGUAA